GACGUAGGGGACGAGCGUUGUCCGGAUGCAUUGGGAGUAAAGAGCGUGUAGGCGGCCAGAUAAGUCCGCUGUGAAAUCUCGAGGCUCAACUUCGAGCUGUCGGUGGAAACUGUCUGGCUAGAGUCCGGAAGAGGAGAAUGGAAUUCCUGGUGUAGCGGUGAAAUGCGCAGAUAUCAGGAAGAACACCCGUGGCGAAGGCGGUUCUCUGGGACGGUACUGACGCUGAGACGCGAAAGCGUGGGGAGCGAACAGG
rnacentral:rRNA from 1 species